rnacentral:lncRNA from 1 species
CGAGGAGACCAUGCGGAGAGAGUAUCCGCAUCUAUUUGAGUCGACGAGCUAAGGUAUGCGUAAUUUCGCGGACGAAAUUAUUUUAAGGGGUGGAGAAUGUAAUGUAUCGAAAAUUCGAAAAAUAAAUAUCGAACUUUAGUCAAAUUGACCAAAGUGCGAGGAUGGUACACAUCGGAAAGUCCGAAGGUGUUAAAAAUAAUCAAAAGUACAUUGUAGGAGGUUUUCGAGAGCUAAAGAAUCAAAAAUCUGCAAACUGCAGUUUUUCUGCUCUCGGGGACCAGUCCCUGCGGGGAGAGACCGGUCCCCGAACGCGUGCAAAGUGAGAAAGCCGAAAAAUCGGCUAAGUCCGAGAAAACCAGCUCUCGGGAACCGGUCCCUGCGGGGAGAGACCGGUCCCCUAGAGACCAGUCCCUCUAGGGGAGAAACCGGUUGCGUCGCGCGUAGCCUUGGCUGCCCGCGGGGAGAGCUCUCUGGGACCGGUCCCAAGUCGGGGAGACCGGUCCCCGAGCCCGAAAUCUGCCCAGUUUGGAGCAGUUUAAUAAGAUAAAAGCUGAGGGGCCUAAUUGCAAUUAUACAACCCAUAGAGUGAAAUAGGAGGGGAUAUGAGAUAUUUCUCUCAUUCUCACCCUCUCACACUCUCUAUUCUUACUUUCUCUCUCUAGAAGACAAGAAGGAGAAGAAGAAGACAAAGAAGAGAAGAAAGGAAGGGAAAAGAAAGGCAAGGAAGGUGGAGAAGAAGCCAUUGCAGUGAAGCUAUCUCCUCUUCUUCCCCUUUGAAGCAAGCUUAGAGGUAAGCUUGAGCCCUAAUCAUGGUAGAACCCAAACUAGGGUUUGGAUUAAGCUUAGAAUUGGGUUUUAUAGAACUUUUUGAGCCUAUGAAGCUUUCUUUUGCUUCUUAUAGAGAUCAACACCAUGAGUGGUGUGUGUGUGAUGAAGCUUAGAGGUGAGCUUCACCCCUCUCAUGGUAGAAUUCAAACUAGGGUUUGGAUUGAACUAAGGAUGGUUUUAAUGGACUUCCUAGAGUAGAAUGAAGCUUCUUUUGCUUCCCAAUGAGAUCAAACCCUAGGUUUGAUAUAUGUUAUGAGCUAGGGCACCCAAAUUGGGACUUUUGCUUGCGAGGGUUUCAAAGUGCAAUUGACCCUCUAGAAACCUAAUUGGGGGUGUUUCCGACGCGUUGGUGCGCUCGGAUUAACGUUACGAAAAGUCUAUAAAAAGUUAUGGGCAAAAUGGCCUAAGUUGGUAUCGUUUUGCAGCAGGUGAAGAACGAGGAGUCUAAAAAUCCCAAGAAAAUCGUCGGAGCACCUUUGAGAACCUACGAGGUGGGUGGUGCUAUCCAAUCUCGUUGAACUUCCUUCUAUGCCUAAUGUGUCAUUCAAUUGAGCAUAUGUUAUAUACAUUGUUGCAUGCAUUGUAGGGUAAAUGUGAUGAGAGUAAUGUGCUGUUGCAUAUUGUGAGUACAAUUUGCCUAAUGAGAUGCUUGAGAACUCCUAUGAAUGUUUAACCCUAUGUAUGCAUGAGAUAAAAUGUGAGCACCCAAGUGAGGCAAAAGAACAGAGUGACACAAUGAGACAUAGAUCGAGUGGCAUUCGAUAAAGUAAAGUAAAGUGACACUAGAGUUAGUGCGAGGCAAUGAAUCAAUGUGAUGUAAAGAGUAAUGACAAUGACUAAAAUAAAUGUAAUGUGGGGUGUAACGAAUAUGCAAAAAGUAAAGAACUAUGAUUGCUAGAGUAGCAACAUAAAGUGAUGAAAAGAACACUAGAGUUAGUGUAAAGUCAAGAUUGAACAUACAAUCCUUUGAGUUAAGGAUUCGAUCAUACUUGCUAUGAGUUCUGUGCUCGAGGGCGGUCGCUCCCCCUCGGGCGAUGCGCUCCAGAGUUUUUGCAAGACGGGUUGGAGUAAACCCUAGGACGGUCUUAGCGGGAGGAAGCUGAGGGCCCGCGAUGAUGGACUUAAUGUGAAGCAAGUUAAUGUGGCGAAACCCCCGGGUUAGCCGUGAGAUUAAAGAAUAAAGAAUAAAGAACAAAGAACAAGGAAAAAAGAGUAAAGAUAAAGAACAAAAAACUUGCAUAAUCUGCAUGAGUUUUAUAUUGAGCAUACUUUUUGCUUUAUUGUUCAGGCAUAUUAGCAUCAUGUUAUAGAUUAGUUACUAUAUUCAGCUUAUCCUUUCUAUUAUGCCUAGUUAGUCCUAGUGGGAAAGUCGGUGAUGUUCGGGCCGAACCCACUGGGAACUUUGUUGUAGUUCUCACCCCACUAUUCCACAGAGCCCGGACCGAGCGAGCCGGCGAGUGACUGCGGUAAAGGUAUUGCACCAUAGUUAGAGGCCACCAGGGAUGGGUUAUUACAUUUUGUUAAUAGUUUACCCUUUUAUCAUCUUUUGAAUUUGAUGAUUUAAGAUAUUGAUGUAUAAAGCAAAGAAAGAAAAGAAUGUAAUGUUUAUUUGGAGCAAAUGUGAUGUAAAAAGAAAUGAUGCAAGCAAUGUAAAGAAUCAUGAAUAUACAACUUGGAUGAAAUGGAUGCAUGUAUGUGAUCAAAAGUUGAAUCAUGGUACAAAUUGAAUGUUAGUUGCCUUUCUUUCACUCAUGGCUAUUGCUUACCCUCGAGUAAGCCGUUUGUGUAUGUUUUCGCUAGUGCACUUCUUAUUUGAAAAUGUACAGGUGAUGAGCCUUGGGUGGACAGGGGAAACUCUGUCCGUUCGGCGUCUAUUUGACGUGCUCGGGCCGGCCGAAAUUGGUAUCGGUCCAGGGGCGUGACAGUACCGGUACAGGGUGAUGGUUGUACCGGUACAGGAGGCCGUGUACCGGUACACAGGCAGCUUCUCAACCAACCCGAGGCUCGGGUUUGGAAUUUUCGUGGGGUGUGUACCGGUACGCGAUCCCGCGUAUCGGUACGCAGUGCAGUACGCAGACUGCUUGAACUGCAGAAGUGUUUUUGCGAUUGUAGCUUCUCUAUAUUAGUACCCCACGCCCCCUGGUGUUCCUUGAGCUUGGAACCAGUGGAGAGGAAGGUAAGGGAGCUCUCUAUUCUCCCACUUUGAUUUCCUUUGUUUUUGUUGGGAUUUUUCGAGGUUUAAUCCUUUCUUUUUGCUCCUUUUUGCUACUUGGUGCUAUUUCCACCAUGGGAGAAUGCUUGAGGCUUGGAGUUAAGCUUGUUGAAGGAGAGAUCUUCAACCCUAGUUGACUUCUAGCCUUCUAUAAAGGUUAGUAACAUGUUUCUCUCAUUAGAUUCAUGUUUUACUUGAUUGUUGUUUAGAAACCCUAGAAAUGAGGAUUUGGGGCUUGAUUUGGGGUUUUUGACCUAGGGCUUUUGGAGCUCGAUUGAUCGGUUUAGAACCUUCCUCUAGGUUGGAUUGGAAGGGUUCUAGCUUCCAUUUGGAGCUUGAGAGGGAUUUUCUACACUUAGGUGAGAUAUUACCCUUUUCUUGAGUUGGUUAAUGUUUAACCUAUUCGUUGUUUGAAACGUUUGUGUAUCGCUCCUACUUUAACCUUUAGGGGGCUAGGAAGCUUGUGGGCACCUUCGUCGGCGCAAACGAAGGCCGUGUGGAACUCUCGGUCGGUUUGGCCACACCAAAAUGGGAUAAAUCAUCCCUAUAAUGGUUUUACUUUUCGUAAAAUGAAAAUGCAUGCAUAUUCUUACUAGAUAGAAUAUUUGAGAAUUUUAGAAUGCUUAAUAUGUGCAUGUUACGUAUAAAGUACAUUGGACCUCUAUGUAGUAGAGAACUGUUCAUAUUUGGAACCUUACAUAUGGUUAGCAUUCUUACAUUUGAUUGAGAUCACGUUGCAUGUAGUGCAUAUGACAUGUAGAUUACACUUUUGGAAUUAGAACGCAUGCUUGGCAUGGUUGGACAUGUGGUCAUUGAGUGACAUAGGCUAGAGUGUAUGUAAAUUGUAAGCUAAUGUCAUAAAGCAGCAUUUGGCUUGGACUAGAGAUGGAAAUUAUAAGCUAAUGUCAUAAAGCGGCAUUAGGCUUUGUAAUAUACCGAAAAUUCGAAAAAUAAAUGUCGAACUUUAGUCAAAUUGACCAAAGUGCGAGGAUGGGACACUUCGGAAGGUCCGAAGGUGUUAAAAUGAUCAAAAGUGCGUUGUGGAAGGUUUUCGAGAGCUAAAGAAUCAAAUUCUGCAAAACUGCAGAUUUUUAGCUCUCGGGAACCGGUCUCUGGUGGGAGAGACCGGUUCCCGAACGUGCCAACAAGUAAAAGCUGAGCGCCGAUUUCCGGCGGGAAAGCUACAAAGUCUACCAAUACCCGUUUGCAAAUGGGAAGAUAUAGCGAUGGACUUCGUUACUGGUUUGCCUCGAUCGCAAGGCGGACACGAUGCGAUAUGGGUAAUAGUGGAUCGAUUGACAAAGUCGGCACACUUCUUGCCGAUACAUACUACGUGGUCGAGAGACAAGCUAGCUCAAGUAUAUCUCGACGAGGUUGUGAGAUUUCAUGGGGUUCCAGUGUCGAUCGUGUCGGAUCGCGACCCCAGGUUCACAUCCCACUUUUGGAAGAGUUUGCAAGACGCGCUAGGCACACGGCUCGACUUCAGUACAGCGUUUCAUCCUCAAAGUGAUGGACAGUCGGAGCGAACGAUACAAAUCCUUGAGGAUUUACUUCGAGCGUGUGUGCUAGAUUAUAAAGGAGGAUGGCAUGAUUUCUUGCCUAUGGCGGAGUUCGCCUACAAUAACAGCUACCAAGAAAGUAUAGCGAUGGCGCCUUUUGAGGCACUAUAUGGUCGAAAGUGUCGUUCUCCUAUCCAUUGGAGCGACGUGGGCGAGAGAGCGGCUCUUGGCCCGGAUGUGGUGCGGGAGGCGGAAGAGAAAGUUCGCCUUGCCCGUCAACGGUUGGCGAUGGCGCAAUCUCGGCAAAAGAGUUAUGCCGACAAGAGAAGAAAGGAUUUAGAGUUCGCGGUUGGAGACCGUGUAUUCUUAAGAGUAUCGCCAAUGCGAGGAGUUAAACGAUUUGGGGUCCGUGGGAAGCUAAGUCCCCGUUAUGUCGGACCGUUUGAGAUAUUGGAGCGUGUGGGUGCGGUGGCGUACAAGCUCGCACUACCACCGAGACUCGCGGGAGUUCACAAUGUGUUUCAUGUGUCGAAUCUUCGAAAGUAUAUCCGAAACGCGGCACAUGUAUUGGAAUACGAGCCCGUGGAGCUACGUGAGGAUAUGUCCUAUGAGGAGUACCCCGUGUGCAUCCUCGAUAAAGAGGUUAAGAAGUUGCGAAGUCGCAAAAUCCCAUAUGUGAAAGUCCAAUGGAGCAACCACGCGGCGCGAGAAGCCACUUGGGAGCUCGAGGAAACCAUGCGGAGAGAGUAUCCGCAUCUAUUCGAAUCGACGAGUUAAGGUAUGCGUAAUUUCGCGGACGAAAUUAUUUUAAGGGGUGGAGAAUGUAAUAUACCGAAAAUUCGGAAAAUAAAUAUCGAACUUUAGUCAAAUUGACCAAAGUGCGAGGACGGUACACUUCGGAAAGUCCGAAGGUGUUAAAAUGAUCGAAAGUGAGUUGUGGAAGGUUUUCGAGAGCUAAAGAAUCAAAUUCUGCAAAACUGCAGAUUUUCAGCUCUCGGGGACCGGUCCCUAAAGGGAGAGACCGGUCCCCGAACACGUAUGAAAUGAGACAGCCGAAAAAUCGGCUAAGUCCUGGAAGGAUAGCUCUC